AUACGUAGGGAGCAAGCGUUGUUCGGAUUUACUGGGCGUAAAGGGCGCGUAGGCGGCGCGGUAAGUCACUUGUGAAAUCUCUGAGCUUAACUCAGAACGGCCAAGUGAUACUGCAGUGCUAGAGUGCAGAAGGGGCAAUCGGAAUUCUUGGUGUAGCGGUGAAAUGCGUAGAUAUCAAGAGGAACACCUGAGGUGAAGACGGGUUGCUAGGCUGACACUGACGCUGAGACGCGAAAGCGUGGGGAGCGAACA
rnacentral:rRNA from 1 species